rfam:Oxytricha trifallax strain JRB310 Contig10676.0 macronuclear, whole genome shotgun sequence.
GCCAUCUUAGCUUAGUGGUAGAGCAGUCGCUUCGUAAGCGAAAGGUCGGGAGUUCAAUCCUCCCAGUUGGCU